CAGAGUGACCUUAGAAGAUGUCGAACCAGAGUAACGGUGACACUAAGCCCCCAUGCCUACCCCGGAAUGGAUUGGUGAAGAUUCCCGCCCAACCCAAUGGACUUGGCUCAGCCAGCAUCACCAAAGGGACCCCAGCAGUGAAAAACCGCCUAUGCCAGCCUUCUUCCAUGCCUGCUAUCAUCAGCCCACCCUUAUCAAAUCACAGUGACCUGCCCAUAUCCAGCCUGGCAUCACCGCUGUCCUUGGCAACUCUGGCAGGGGUGUCCUCCCCUUCUGGCACCUCUGUGGUGGGACUGAACUCGAGUGAGGCCUCCUCAACAAAUGAGCACUCCUCCCCAGAGAGGGCUCCUGGCUCCCCCACAGAAAGGCAGCUGGCUGUGGAUGAGAAGAUCCUCAACCGCUUGUUCUGGUACUUUUCAGCCUGUGAGAAAUGCAUCCUGGCCCAGGUGUGUAAAGCGUGGCGGCGAGUCCUCUACCAGCCCAAGUUCUGGGUAGGCCUCACACCCGUCCUGCACACCAAAGAGCUCUACAACAUCCUGCCCAGUGGUGAGAAGGAGUUUGUCAACCUACAGGGCUUUGCCAUCAGGGGCUUCGAUGGCUUUUGUCUGGUGGGAGUCUCAGACCUGGACAUUUGUGAGUUCAUUGACAACUACCCCUUGUCCAAGAAAGGGGUGAAGUCCAUGAGCCUUAAGAGAUCGACCAUCACGGAUGCAGGACUUGAGGUGAUGCUGGAGCAGAUGCAGGGCGUGGUGCGACUGGAGCUCUCUGGCUGCAAUGACUUCACAGAAGCCGGGCUCUGGUCCAGCCUGAAUGCCCGCAUCACCUCCCUGAGCGUCAGUGAUUGCAUCAACGUGGCUGACGAUGCCAUCGCUGCCAUCUCCCAGCUGCUGCCCAACCUGAUGGAGCUGAACCUACAGGCGUACCAUGUGACGGACACAGCCCUGGCCUAUUUCACCGCCAAGCAGGGCUAUACAACUCACACCCUGCGCCUCAACUCCUGCUGGGAGAUCACCAACCAUGGGGUAGUCAACAUGGUGCACAGCCUGCCCAACCUGAGUGUGCUCAGCCUCUCCGGCUGCUCCAAGGUGACUGACGAUGGGGUGGAGCUGGUGGCCGAGAACCUGCGGAAGCUCCGAAGUUUGGACCUGUCCUGGUGCCCUCGGAUUACUGACAUGGCCCUGGAGUACAUAGCCUGUGACCUUCAUAAGCUGGAGGAGCUCGUGCUAGACAGGUGUGUGCGGAUCACAGAUACUGGCCUCAGUUACUUGUCCACCAUGUCAUCUCUUAGGAGCCUGUACCUCCGUUGGUGCUGCCAGGUACAAGACUUUGGCCUGAAGCAUCUCCUGGGCAUGAGAAGUUUACGCCUCUUAUCUCUUGCUGGUUGCCCACUCCUGACCACCACAGGCCUUUCUGGCCUUGUCCAGCUUCAAGACCUGGAGGAGCUGGAGCUGACCAACUGCCCUGGUGCCACCCCAGAGCUCUUCAAGUAUUUCUCCCAGCACCUGCCGUGCUGCAUGAGAUGCAAAAGACACUGGCGAGUUAACUCCACCACCACGUGUAAAACAAACCAGUUAUUCACAUCACCACACCCGGUGACAGUGCCUGGAGAUUGAGAUUUGCUCUCUCAGUGAAAGGAGGCUUCUGUCUGUUCAUAUGCCGCAGACUUCACAAGAGAACCCCUCUGCAAGACGGGAUGCUGCAGGUCUCCCGUGCUGGAGGCGUUUAAAAAAUAAACCGACCAGUGCUGUGAAAGAGAAACACAGGGCCCGAUCCUGAGACUUUUGGCAGGCUGGGUUCCUUUUGCUCCAGGAAGUGAAGCUGGUACGUUAACUGUGAUCAUCUUGUCUUCGUCAGAAGCACAGAUCCAUGGGCAAAUUUCCUGAGAAACAAACAGAUUGACCCAGCUGAGUUGUCACUCCCCCUACACAACCCUGUUCCCCAAACACCCAACAACCCUAAGGUCAUGUGGCCUGGGGUGGACGGUCGCCUACUGCUCUUUUCAUUUUGUUAAUAAGAUGUUCUUCUCAGAACAGCCUGCAGCCUUCGCAUGCUAGCUUGCUUCUGUCUUGUGGUAAGGUAGGUCCUGGAACGUGUGGGCGCUGGGAGGGCCCGUGGGUGGCAACUCCCUUCUCAUUCCCUUGCCCAGCUCCAGUUGUCUCCUCCAGUGUGAAGCUGGUGUGGCUUUGCAUUCCAUCCACAUCCAUGCGUUGGAGUCCUGGUUUCACUGUGAGUUCUGUUCUCAGACAAGGGAACCUGAGACAACUCCUUUCACUCCCACCCCUGCCUGGAGCCUCCCUCAGCUGCCUUCCUUCUCUCCCUGCAGCUUGGGAAGAGGAGAGAAAGCUUUUGGCUUCUGCUUCCUUUGCAGUGCGCCAUAAGCCCCACUGUGUCAUUCCCCAAAGGUCCAGCUUGAGGCCAGCUCAGUUGCAGACAGAGUCAAAGCCAGAAAUAUGUGAACCAGGCAGACCUGGGACCCUGCCUCCCCCUUCCCUGAAUUGCCGCCCCCACCAGCUGAGCAGGUUUUGCUACACUGUUUUUAGUCAGGCCCCAUCUUGACCCACUGUUGUGCCCUGGCUCUGGGGGCUCUUCCCAUCUCACUGUUGCCUCCCCCAUUCUCAGCUAAGCCACCCGCAGGGUCCAGUUCUCCCACUGCAUCAGGAGUGCUUGGAGGCUCUUUCCUGAGUUACAUUCAGAUCCCAGGGGUAUGUGGGAGGACGUCCCAGCUGAACCAUGCUGUCCACACAAGCAAAGUCUCAGCAGCUGAAAUGUCUUUACAUCUGGUAAUGAAACCUUUUGUUUUGUUGUAGGUUAUCUGCAGGGAAAGUGGGGGAGAGGAAGGUAGGGGCCAGGGAGAGCCAUUGCCUCUGUACUAAGGUCAGGUCAUGGUGAGCCAGGCUUUCUUCCCGUCACUGCUCAAUCUAGAGCCUGUACAUCUCUGCUCAAUUCACUGCUUUGGGUGAGCCUGGAAGAAGCCCUCUCCAGACUCACCUCGAGCUCCAUGUGGAGUGACUGGCCCCAGGAUGCACACACGUACAUGUGUCCCUAUCUCCUGCACCCACAUGCAAACAGUCUGAGCUUAAUUGUUCCAAGGGAUGUCUCUGCUACCUCCGUACCAUGCGAGGUGCCUGCCCUAUCACUUGGUGGUAUCUUCUAUUCUCCGACCAGAACGGAAGUGGACUGUGGAGACUCCGCCAGCUGGGUAGAGCUCCUGAGAUGGAGAGAAGAGCCUGUGGUUCUCCAGGGAUAGGGGGUGAGCAUGCAGAGACACUCCUGUGAUCCUGUAGGGAGUGGACUCUCAGUCCAGAGGCACCUCAGCAGUCUCCAGCCCUGCUGCAAUUGAAAGCCAAAACACAUUCAGCUCCCAUAUUAUGGAAAAUGGGAACAUGCUACACAGAAGCAGCAGCCUCAGGACACAAAGCCACUGUAGCUCUUCCAGCAUCUGAAGCCAUCUCCCUGAUACCAGCAGAAAGAGACCAGGCGGGGACCUCUGUAAGUCUCUUUUCUAAGUCCUCCCAGCAUCAUCAGCACCUUCUACACUGCCUGCAUCAUCUCUGACCUCAGUCAGGGACCUCCCCAUCCUCAGGGCAGGCAUCACUCUGGGAAGGACACUGGCCAUAGUAGUUAUCUGAAGGUUCCCUUGAUGAGGUACUGUCAGGACUGCAUAGGAAACUCAAGCAAAUAAUACAGGCUCAGAGUCUCAACUGGUAUAAACCAGCACAGCACUACUGCAAUCAGACUGGGCCAGUUUACAUCAACUGAAGGUCUGGCCCAAAGGUCAUCUUAUUGCAGAACCCCUAACAGUGUCUUUCUUGCAGAAUACCCUAAUGCGUAGCUGCAGUGCUGAAUGGUAGAAUUUAAGACAGCUGAACAUCUUGCCAUACAUUGAUGUAGAUGGUCUCCUUGCCAUUUAAUGGAAGGAGACUCUCAGGUAAAGAAUAUCAUAUCAAUGGCCAGCACCAGGCCUGUAGGUGACAGGCUGUUACAAAGCCAGUGGUUAGUGUAUGCAUGCGCUUCCCAAUAGGUCUUAUUAGUGGGAGAUCAUCCUGAAUUCUGAGUGUGGAUGCAGCCUUCAAACACUCCUAUCUAUCUUGCUUCUUCUCUGAUGGUAACCACUGGAGGGUGCACCCUCUGCUAGCCCCAAGGCUUCUUCUCCAUAGACAUCCCAGCCCAUCACUACCAGACCCAUAUCCUUCGUAAGGGUUAUUCCAUGGUAGCCAGUCUGCUGGCCUUGUGGUAUGGGCAUGAUGAAUGUGUAGCUUUGAUACUUGGUUGGCAUGACUAUGGAGACUGUGGCAGGCAAUGAACCCAGCCUGGGAAGAGGAGGAAUGCCUUGAAUUGCUUGGAAGUAGUCUGGCCAGCUGUUCUCUAAAGUGUUUAUUUUGCACCAUAAAUGGGCCUGAUGCUUGGCAAACCAGACCAGUUCCUUCCCUAAGGACCUGGCAGUAAAAGCAGGUAAGACAUAGCAUUGUUUAAUAGUGGCCAGAAAGGCAUAAAUAGGUAAAAGCUGAUUAGCUGAAUCCAAGUGGGCAAGGAGAAAGGAUGUUAUGGAGACCUCAUUACCAGCUGGGACUGAUUCCUCUGGAUCUAGCAAGGUCUCUGGCUCUGGGCUAGUGGCACAAUUUUCAGAUCAGUUGGAUUUAUUAGGUGGUGGUCUGCACAAACUGAGUCAGCUGGCAAAUCCAUGACUGAACAAGUGACCUUGAGAAAUGCUUAGGAAGAGCUAAAGGAACAUACACUGGGUGUGGAGGUGGUAGUGAUGAUGAUGGGAACUUUCCACAAAGCUGGAAGAGGUACAACUGGUCCUGAGCAGAGCUGGGCAAGUGGUGCAAAGCCCUUUCUCCAUGGAUAGUCAUGCAGAUUUGUUUUGGCAGCAUUCGUGUCUUUCUCACGUUGGUGCCCUGCAUGCAUGUAUGCUUGGGCAUCUGUAGCAUGGAUGUGCUCUGAAAGCACAUCUUCAGCUCAUCCUUCCCAAAGCUCACAGAAAAUGCACCUUUGAGUUGCUUUCUAUUAGCGUUAGCCCAAGAAGCCCACUAAGAGUCAGGCUUCUCCAGCCAGGGCAGAAACAAGUGGUCCUACAUGGGUACAGUUUUUGCAAACCAGAUUCCAUGGAGCAGUGACUAAAUGUGUUGUUCCACAAGCAGAAAAAUUCAUCCCAACCCAAUUAGCACUAAGUUCAUCCACUAAAGUGAUCAGUCCUGAAUGAUCCACUCAGCUAUGGCCUUGAGUAAGAGCCUAACUUCUCCAUACAGUCCUUCCACUGAGGGGAGAGGAAUUGCAGCUCCUCAGACAGCAGCUCCCCUGCUCAUUCCUGACCUGGUGCCGUAGUUUCUCAUGGUUAUGUCUGAACACAUACAUGUUUCCUAAUUUUUAAUGAACAGGAAUUAACUGAUCUAACAACCAUGGGUUUUUUAUUACCAACUUUUGUUGCCAUAAAGAUAUGUAAGCUUUAAGUGAUUGAAUUCUAGGAGGACAUGUUGCAGCUUCCUGCUCUGAUGGCCUCUCCUCCCCACAGCCCUGCUAAUGCAGGAUUCUAAGGUGGAGGUGAGGGGGGAAUCUCCGAUGGGGGAGUUGUUACUUUGGUUAACCUGUAGCUUUGGUUACUAAUUGCACUAUAGUCUCCUUCAAGAUCCUUUCUGAACUCGCCAAAAAACACUGGUCAGGCAGCCAGAGCUUUUUCUUCAUGACAAGUUCAGUCUUUCCAGUGGGAAUGUUGGAAAACCCUGGACAUCCAUAGGAAAUCCAUAGGGAUGGACAUAUGCCAGCCCAUCUCCUGGUGUGUAACUCAGCUGGCUGUCGGUAGAGGCUAAGCAGGCAGCCCCCAUGGGACUACAUCUCCUAGGCUGGUGCAGGAAUCUCAGUGAUAGCUCCCUGACAGGCUGCCUUCCCAAACUGCCCUUUUCCAGCAGAGGAGUUCUUACAUGUUCCUGCACCUUCCACUUCUUAGAGGAAAUCUGGAAGCACUGGUUCUUCCUCCAUAGUAAACCUGAAGCCAGCAGUGCCCUGUACACAGGGCUGCAUGGGAUGAUACUGCCCAGCAGAAAGAAAUGGUAGAGGUAGGCUGCACAGCUGGACUGGCUGGUGGGAAGAAGGGAGCAGACAGUCAUCACUGAGGGUGGUAGGGCAUUGUUUUGCUUCAGUGCCAAGAUCCCUAGAGCUGCUUUUGCAUCUACGUGCAGACUUACAUCUCUAUGCCCUGAGCCAGCUGAAUCAUCCACCUACCAGAUCUCUACAUCCAUGCUUUCCCAGGCUGCUGUUUUUGCCAGCAGAGCCUUCAGUGGUUCCACUGCUCAUAUGCUGGGGGCUGCAGUCAGGCUUCUUUGCUGGGAGGUAAAUGCAGCUGUGCCUGGCCUCUGUCACUCUGGUCAAGCCAGGACCCCGGAGGUCAGCCCCCCAAUCCUGUAAUGGUGUCUAAGGGUACUGGGGAGAUGAAAAAACACCCUUGCCCCAUGGGAGAAUUCCCACUCCUGAGUGUCUCUGCAGUUGUGAUACAAUUCUAGCCUCUCCUGCUCUGACACAUUUACGGUGUGGACCAUCAUAUAUAAUCCACCCUCCUGGUUUUUCCCUCCUUGCUGUGGUCAGGCACUUCAUUACAGCCCCAGCUUGUACAUUUUGCACAUUCAAGUUGCUAUGACCUGAGAUCUGUUAGCUUAAGCAGAGGUAAGAGCCAGAAAAGGAACAGGAAGAAUUGGGUGUUUUUAUGGAGUUAGUCCAGAGAGGAGCUGAGCCCCUGCAGCUCUUGUUGUCUGCAUUGUGAAUAGUUUUAUUUCCAAGGGUUUUAGGCACUGGACACAUGACAGUACAGCACAAGGAAGCCAAAAUGCCCUUGCCACGAGGCUUAUCACUAUUGAGUACCAUGGGGUGCCUACAGGACCCACCUGCCUCAUGGUCCUAGGUGCUGUAUAUGCACGGAGUAAGAACAUUCCCUUUCCCAGAGAGCUUGCAGUCUAACCAGACAAACAGUGGGGAAACUGCAGCACAGAGACAUGUGGUCACUUGCCUAGGAUGGGCAGGGCUCAGCCAGGCCAUUGCACCAUCCAGUGCAACAUUCUGCCUCUGACAGUGAUUAGUGCCUGACUGCAAAGGAGGCAUCUCCAUGAAUGCACUGUCCAAGUGCACACUGCUGCCCAUACAGCUGGGGGAGGGAAGAUGCCUUCCCACCCCAGCAGGAUGCCAGUUUGACAAGCUGCCCUCCUCUUGGCUUUAGGGUGAUUAAGGGUAUUAGCCAUUGCACUACCCCACCGCUAUCCAGAAUAGCCCAAUGUUAGCUCUCCUUUCACUUAAUCUGUUUGGCAAGGUGGCCUUGUUGUGAUGUCUUGGGGAGGGCUGGAUUUACACCUGAUACUUAUUAGCAGAGACACCUGGUUCUCAGCUGUUGACUUCAAUAGCAGUCAAGGUCACAUCACAGCUCCCUGCAUGAAAAUCUCUUUCCUUUUGGGUACCCACCUGCUUCUGCUUCCCUGCUGAGAUGAUCUCGUCCUCCAUUUGUGUAAGAGCCCAAGUGCUUCUUCUCUGCUCCAGGGUGAGUUCUGUCCUUUUAGGGACAUCAUGAACUCCCAGUCAUGGUGAGUGCUGAGAGGAUCCUCAAGAAGGCCCUGCCCUCUUGGCAAUUUACUUUAGAAACUGGGCAGUGCAGGGUCCAUGUGCUAAUAUCUGUCGUGCUCUUAGAACCUCAUUAGGUGGCAGACUCAUCCCUCAUGUUAUGCUGAGUCUGAUUUGGGCCUCUGAUGCUGCAACCUGGUGAGAACAUCUUUUUGGCCCAUCUACACAGGCAAUAUCAGGCAUGUUAUAAGCUAGUAGGAGGAUGAGUGUGUUUUUCAUGGAUCCCCUGACAGAUCUCCCAUCGGAGAUGUGCUGAGCCAACACCUUCAGCCACAACACUGCUGUGGGGGCUGGUGAGCCCACAGAGGUGCAGAGGUUUGAACUGAAGUGCUAUGGAAAAGGGAGUGUCCUGCUCCUUAUACCCCAGGGCUAGUCCUGCCCAUGAAUAGGAUUUACCAGGUUGUCCAGAGUUUUCCGUGUGUCCACUGCUGCCCUUCCACCAGGAAGGAGACUGCAAGGGGAGUGUGGGGGUGCAGGAGAAGCCACUGAGCAGCUAGUGCCUUCAGAAAGAAAUGGUGCAUUUUUUCUUCUAAGGGAGAAGGGAGCUUGUGAGGUUGGCUCCUGGACCCAGCUGUGACAGAACCUGCUUUGCCUCCUGGAGCUGGGUCAGACCAGGCGCUCCACGUGUCUGCAAUGUGGAUGCCACCCUGUUUGUGGAGAGGCUGGGACAAGGCUUUUCCAUCUCUUACAUUUUCGAGCCCCUGUGUCUGGUGACUAGACUUCUUCACCCGACCUCAGCAUUCAUCUGUUCUUUCAGCUCUCAAUCCCAGAAGGUGGGGACAUUUUUCUGCCCUUACAGGCCAGUCUGGGUCUCUGCAGCUGACAUGAAAAAUAAAGUGACUUCAUCCAUAUAGGGGCUCAGCAUAGGAGGGUAGAAACCAGUGUGGUCCCUGCUUUUACAAUCAAGGGAACUUGACAAGUUGUUGGGUCCCCAGACCAUAACAUAGGAGGUUGUUAUUCAGUGGGGAGAGGGGGAGAUUCUCAUGAGCAGUCAGGGUGCCAGAACGGAAAAGCCUUUCUUUGCAGUCAUGUUACAGCCAAGACAUGGGGAUGCUGCUGAGCUGAGCAAACUGAUGGACUGUCUCUUCAAAGAAUGCUGCAUUGAGGAGCUAAAGUUUUUCUUAAAAAAGAGGGUGAAGAUAAUAAAAUGACAUGAGCUGUUGGCCAACCCCACUGGCAGCCAAGUAGGAACCAGCACUGGGUCUAUUACGCACAAGGCCUACCAAAGCUCUCAGGAGCACAGCUGUCUUGGCACUCUUUGGAUAGGUGCAGUGUGUACCCACACCACACAUGGUACUUCUGCAGCACAGUGUAGGGGACAUGGUUGUGGCCCUUCCUUACUUCUGCCAGCCUGGUUUGGAAAGAAUAGCAACGGUGCCACUAGCAUAGCAAAAUCCAGGCACUCACUGGAGUACAAGAACUCAGCUGCAGGGAGGGACUGGAAGUCAGGCAGGCUGGGCAGCUCAUUUCUACUGCAGUACUGGAAACCCAAAUGCAAGAGCUCUGGACUAGCGUGCAGGAACCAGAGUGAAAGACUAGAAAGGGCAAGUGGAAGUGGCCAGUCAAAUCACAAGAUCUGAGCAGGAGAAGCAAAGAAACAAGGAAGCAUUCAGCAGCAGAGAAUGAAUUUCCUUUCUUUAAUCAUUUAGAGCACUGAUGAUAAUCCAGUGACACACUAUGUGUUUCAUGGUGUACACGUUUUGAAGCCAGAUCCCUAACUGGCGUAGCUUCACUGACCUCUAGAUUUACAUUACCAGAGGAGGUGGGGCUAUGUCCAAAGAUUACUGGAUUGACAGACAGAGUCUCUUUAAAAUGUGUGUAUUUUUUUUAAUGUUGCAAUUUCUAAGGAGACAUUGAGCGCUCAGGGAAAGCAGUUGUGAUGCUUUGGUGGGCAACCACGCGGGUGUCCUGUGAGGUCAGAAAAUAGUGUGCAGCACAGUACUGAAGAAGAACCAAGGCAGCCUUGUCCUCCUGGAAUACAGCAGAAGCAAUGAGGAAAAUGCCACAGAAAAACUUCGCAUUUCCCACUGGAAAAGGAAGAGCUAAAAGGGAAACUAUAAUAUUUGGAAGAGGAAGACUUGCUGGGCCCAGCGGUCAAGUGGCAACGGAUUCCACCCCUCAAGGUCCGGCCCUGAACCGGCCGGCCCAGUCGACGGGUACGGUUCUGUCACUGACUCGGUUCUGAUUCAACCUCCUUAGCACCUCGAUUAGGUAUCCGCUGGUCCAAAGUAUUAUGAAAACUGCUGAAGCUGUGAUAUUUUGAGUUACUACAGAAGGAAAAUAAAGUGGGAGAGAGAAAAAAUAAAUCUGAAAACCAUUUUCUUACUGUACAUACAACCUCAUUCUCCUGUAUAUUCUGAAGAUAUAACCUUAUAUUUGGUAAGUGUUUCUUGUGCUAUUUUAUCACGUGACCUGUUUAUAAAAAUAUAUAUUAAACAUUUUAAAAAAUGCA